rnacentral:rRNA from 1 species
UGUAGCAAUACAAGGCAGACGGCUCAGUAACGCGUAGUCAACCUACCCUAUGGACGGGGAUAACCUCGGGAAACUGAGAAUAAUACCCGAUAGAACAUUAUGCCUGGAAUGGUUUAUGUUUCAAAUAAUUUAUUGCCGUAGGAUGGGACUGCGGCCUAUCAGUUUGUUGGUGAGGUAAUGGCCCACCAAGACUAUUACAGGUACGGGCUCUGAGAGGAGUAGCCCGGAGAUGGGUACUGAGACACGGACCCAGGCCCUAUGGGGCGCAGCAGGCGAGAAAACUUUGCAAUGUGCGAAAGCACGACAAGGUUAAUCCGAGUGGUUUCUGCUAAAGGAACCUUUUGUCAGUCCUAGAAACACUGAUGAAUAAGGGGUGGGCAAGUUCUGGUGUCAGCCGCCGCGGUAAAACCAGCACCUCAAGUGGUCAGGAUGAUUAUUGGGCCUAAAGCAUCCGUAGCCUGCUUUGUUAGUUUUCGGUUAAAUCCAUACGCUCAACGUAUGGGCUGCCGGGAAUACUGCAAAGCUAGGGAGUGGGAGAGGUAGACGGUACUCGGUAGGAAGGGGUAAAAUCCUUUGAUCUAUUGAUGACCACCUGUGGCGAAGGCGGUCUACCAGAACACGUCCGACGGUGAGGGAUGAAAGCUGGGGGAGCAAACCGGAUUAGAUACCCGGGUAGUCCCAGCUGUAAACUAUGCAAACUCAGUGAUGCAUUGGCUUGAUGCCAAUGCAGUGCUGCAGGGAAGCCGUUAAGUUUGCCGCCUGGGAAGUACGUACGCAAGUAUGAAACUUAAAGGAAUUGGCGGGGGAGCACCACAAGGGGUGAAGCCUGCGGUUCAAUUGGA